AAAAGUCCCACAUCUUUUGGAACUUAGGGUUUUAAGAUUAGGGGGUUCUAUUUAGAAUCCCAACUUUGCAAAAAAAGAAGAGACUUUUGGGAAGGAAUAUACACAUAUUCACUAAAAGAACUCGAUUCUCUCUAGUUUUGGCAAUUUUUGCUUUGAAACUUUGAUUUCGAGUCAUAAAUUAAAAUUUUAAGUCUCUUUUCUUUAUUCUGUGGCUGAGUGUAAGGUGAAAGGAGUAUAAGCUUUUCCAAAUUCAAUACUCGACCAGGGCUGCGCAUCAAAGAGAUCUUAUUCAGGAAGAAGAACACGCAAUUUCUCAGGGAAAUGAUGCCAAUGAAAUCCAGGCUAGUACUGUCAAAGAAAUCCAGAGGGGGGAACAGAGGGGAAACCAUUCUGAACUACCAGCUGAAGCAGCAGAAGGUGAUGAUAAUUUGAAGGAUGCGAAUAUCAAGGAGCAACAGUCCGGGCCCUGGAGGUCAUAUCAGAAUCAAAACUACAGGGGUAAUCGCAAUGGGAGUGGAGGAGGAGGCCGUAGGGGAUAUUCUGAUAGCCGUGGAGGGCGUGGUAGGGGCGGGUCCUACCAGAAAGGUGGCCGCAACCAAUAUUAUGAUCAAUCUAAUAACUACUACCAGAAGAGCUAUUAUAACAAUUAUAGGGGAAGAGGAGGUAGCAGAGGCAGUGGCGGACCGAGAAUUUUCACCAAGUGGGUUCAAUAUAUAAAGAAUAUAUAAAUAACACUGUAUAUAUAUGUAUAUCUUUUAAAAACAGAUUAAAUAUACAUGUAUAUACAACAUUAUUUUUCAAUGAAGUGGGUUCAUAUGAACCCACUUGAAACCACAUAGGACCGCCCCUGCAGAGGAGUUACUAUUGGAGGGAAUUACAACAAUCCCCAUGCUUCAAGUGGUCAAGCUGGCAAUGUCUCUGUUGAUUCAUAACCUUGUUUGGAUGACUAUAAAAUUUCCCUUUGCUAGCAUUUCAUGGGGAGUUGCGGAGGGGACGGGGGUGGAUUUGGUGGUCGGUAUGUUUCCCUGUUAAAUGGAACACACAUUUUGUAGUUUUUUAAUAGUUGUAGGCUUGUAGCUGCUGCUUGAACUUCAGCAAUUCAAGAUAAGUUUUGGUUA